GGCUUACGAAUACCCCAAAUGACACAAUCGAAAUUAUGAAUAAAAAAAAUAAUUCAUAUAAUCUCUCUUUUAACCUUGAUAUCUUAUGCUUGAGCUUCUUCUUUAUUUCUCACUCGAGAAAAAUCAAUGAAAUUCUCCACUACCACCAUCAUCCAUCACUACCACCACCAUCUCCGUCGCCACCACAACCAACACCAACACCACCAACACCAGAAUCGUCUCCAUUGCCAUCAUCACUAUCUCAGUGAGUUAUCACUCUUUAAUUUCACAUCUAAAAAAAUAUAUCUCUCUCUUCUCUUUCUCUCCGGAAAUCUACAGUACCACCACCAUCUCCUCCGCCAACUGAUUCAAAUUUAAAUCGAAAAUUAUUAUCCGCAUUAGAUAGUUCAUAUUCAGAUAGACCUUCUUCUUCUUGUAAAGAUUAAUUUCAAAAUCAAAUUAAAAAAUAUUGAGAUCUGAUUUUAGAUUUUGAUUUCUGAUAAGUUAGUCUCUAUUUCAACUGGAUUGGGAUCGAAGAACCUAAAAUCGAUGAUCACAAUUGGUUUUGGAAUUUAUUGAUUAUCUUCUUACAUUUGCUUUGAAGUUUUUGGUGGUGUUGGUGGUAUUGGUUAGAUUAAGAACGAAGGAGUUGAUGGAGAUUGCGGUGGUUCUGGUUGCAAUGGUGAAAUUUGGCAAUUGAGACAGUGGUAGUUAAGAUUGUUUGUUGUUGUGGUGGUGGUGGUGAUAUCUUCUGAAUGGGAAAGAAGAAGAGUAUACAAAUGAUGGUGGUGGAGCUUAUUGCGAAGGUACCAUGGUGAUCUACAAGAAGCGAUUUUGUGGGUGGCCCUGUACCUCUAUUGCAGCAGGUACCAUAGUGAUCUACAAGAAGCUAUUCAUGUAAGACGGGAAUUUGGCAUUGAUAUUGAUUUUUUGUUGGUGGUGGUGGUGGUUGCGAAGGUGAUGGUGGUGGAAUUUUCGUUGUACGUUCUGUAUGCUACUCACAUUUGAUUGGUAUUGAAUUUGUUUUUCAGUAUGUGGUACAUUUCGACACAUUUAUUGUGGUUGGAGUAGUGGGAUAUGCUCCCUAGUUGGUAAUUCUAGCGAGUACCUGGUUGAAUUCUCUAACUGACAUUUCUAUUGAGAUGUAUAAGUGUGUUCCUUACAAUUUCAUGUUGUGUACAGAAGUUGUUUAAAUUAUGCACUCAACCAACCUAGCCAGAAUCGUUGUUUAGCAUACAUUUUGGAACUGCAUGAAUACUUAAAUUAGUAUGAACUACUAUGUGUACUUGGACUGUUAUGAACUAGGUUGCAUUAUUAAUGAAAAUUGUUGUUGGCAGUAUUCGACAUAAUGUGUUUGAGUAGUGGCUUUUGGAUGGAAUAAUGAACCGACAUGUAGAGGACUUGAUUCUUGUAAAAACCAUUAAUAUAUUACUAUACCAGCUCUUGCUUCCAAGAAACUAUCAAACAUUUCUUGCAUUUUGAUUCAGUUAAUUGUCCAUGUGAAUAUUGGCUUGCUAAUAGAAGAUGCAGCUGGAGAAUAAUUACCAAACAGUUCCGUUCAUUCCCUCUCUGUUCAUCUUCUUUAUUUUAUUCUCUUGAUUUUGUAACGAAGAAAAUUUCUAGUUUUAUUGUGUAUUUUGAAUGGCUUCUUAGUGUGCAAAGGAAUCUUUUCUCUGCUGGAAGCAAGGUUCACCACUCCACUUGCCUUGUCUUGCCAUGGACUCACCACUCGCUGGUGUACAAUUAGUUAAGACAGAAUACUACAAGUCUACAUUUUUCGGUGCUUGAACCUUUCAGUAAUUCCAUGUCUUGCAAGAUGUUACGGAUCUCUUGAAGGAUGCCACAGAUCCAAUCAGUGGCCGUUAUACUAUCAUAAUGGAUAGUCCGUUACCAUUCCAAUUGAAUGGUUUUGAAUCAUUUUCCGUAAGCAAUACUAGAUUUUUCUUUGCAUAUGUUUGAAUAACCACUACUGAAAUUUGUGGACUCGUAGUAUGUUUUAGAAAUAGAUUUGUUUGUUUUUGUAUGGUUUUACUACUAAAGUCUAGUUCUUUUCAUUUUCUGGUUAAUAAACUAUAGCUUCAUCUUCGUUUUUGGACUCUAGAUUUUGGGGACAACUUGAGAAAAUUGCUUUCACUUUUGGGGACAAUUUGAAAAACUUGCUUUCACUUUUGGAGGCAAUUUGAGAUAGUUGAUUCCAGUUCAGAGCAAUGCUGGAGGCAGUGGAUGUCGUAGUGGAGAUGGUUUGUUGUGUUAGCAGUAGUGGAGAUGGUUUGUUGUGUUAGCAGUAGUGGUGGGGUAGUUGCGGGAGACAAUAUGAACUUGUGUUGGAUGCGCGCAAACUACUAGCAUGACUGACUCCACGUCAGAUGAUGUGUGUUCGACUCAUGCCAGGUUCACUUUUGAGUAUACUUUUCCUUUAUAGACAACUUGUCCUAGUUUCUUCCAAAUGCGGAGACAACUUGAGCUAGUUUCCUCCAUAUUUGUAAACAACUUGAGCUAGUUGCUUUCAAAUAUGGUAAGCAACUUGUUCUUACACACUAUCUAAUGGAGACAACUUGAGAUAGUUGCCUCCAUUUUUAGAAACAACUUCAUCAAGUUGCCUUCAGAUUUGGAGACAACUUCAACAAGUUGACUCCACAUGGUGGUGGUAGAAUUGGUGGUUGUUGGUGGUGAUUGGCGGCGGCGGUGAAUGAAAGUGGUGGUGGUUGUUGGCGGCGGUGGGUGGUGUUUGGCAGCGGCGGUGAUGAUUGGUGGCGGUAGUGGAGGGAAAUGGUGGUGGUCGUUGGCGGUGGU